rnacentral:rRNA from 1 species
UACGUAGGUGGCGAGCGUUGUCCGGAUUUAUUGGGUUUAAAGGGUACGUAGGUGGUCUAUUAAGUCAGUGCUGAAAUAUCCCGGCUUAACCGGGAGGGUGGCAUUGAUACUGAUGGACUUGAGUAGAGUCGAGGUAGGCGGAAUUGACGGUGUAGCGGUGAAAUGCGUAGAUAUCGAGAGGAACACCUGCGGCGAAGGCGGGUUGCUGGGCCGACACUGACGCUGACAGCGCGAAAGCUAGGGGAGCGAACGGG